ACGAUAUGAUUCGUAUUACAUAUAUGGUAAGAAUGUGGUUCAUCUAUGUGUAAGACUGUGGCUUUGACUGGUUUUUCUGAGAAUGAUCCACUACCAAUUGGUAUAUUCUACAAUUUUCAAGAAUUUUGUACAUUGGAGAGUGUUCGGCAAUUCCUGGACCUUCCAGAUUUAUAUGGAAUGUUGUAUAUAGAAAUUUCUGGAAGUCGAACCUUCCAGAGCUUAUAUUUUCGAAAGCUUCUUCUAGGACGAGAGAUAUAGAUGCAAACAAGAAUUAAUAGUAGGUAGUUAUUAAUAGUACAGCCAUCAGACAUUUUUGAAUUAGAAUUAUGAAUUAAACGAAAGGUUUUACUUGUUAUUUUUAGAAGAUGAAGUUUUAGUUGAAUAGGGAUGUAGAAAAAAAGUAAAAAAUAAUUGUUGUUCACGUUUUUAUUUAACUUUCGUCAAAAUUUGAACUGGGAAUUAUCUCUAUAAGCUUGGAACGGAACCAUCUAAAUAAAGCAGAUAUAGAAGUAUUUCCAAGUAUUCGUUCCAAAUUGGAUGUUUUUGUGAAUUUAAUCAGUCUGUAGAUACUUGGGCACAUUGUACUUACAUAAAAUACAUUGCUUUAAAAUUAGCGAUAUGUUUCUAUAUGAGCAAAAAUAUAUAAUUACAGCCUAAGCGAAUAUUCAACACUUUUAGGCACACGCUUUGAUUAAAUAUAUGAACACUGUUGUUUUUUUACUGAUAACAGCGGGGUUUUCGCGCACAUAAUACUAUAUUCUCAACACCAGGUAGGAUUAUACCAACCUAAUAAAGCUAAUGAGGGUCUAGAUUCUGGUAUAUACUAAAUUUUAACAAUUAUUCAUUUAAAUAUCUUGUUAGUACACUCCAACCAAAUACAUUACAACUAAGAAACCAUAAAUUGUUAUACGAAAAACUGCAAUCUGAUAUUUUCUAUAUAAUAAUAGUUUUAUAUUAUGUCAAUAAAUAGCUAUUUCAUGAAAUCUAGCAAAAUACAAGAUGUUGAGAAAAUGAAAUAAACAUAUAAAGAAGAAGAACUAUCUAUCAUUAAUGAGAAAGUCUUUUUGGAGCCAAAGUGAUAAAAAAUUCGCUAUGGGAAGCAUCGAAAAAGGUCUACCAUCCACAACAUAUAAAUCAACUUAUAUGUAUUUCAAAAGGCCACUAGAUAAGAGACAGUUCAACAAGAGCUAAAAGUUGUUCUGUCCCCCUAGAAAAAAAAAUUUGAAUAAUAGAUGCUCACAAUGAAGUAAAACAAACAAUCGGACUUCUGUAAUUACCACUAAACUAAAUAUCUAGAAAUUAAGUUCUGAAAGUAAUCAAAGACUUCAAUCCCAUGAAAUCACUAGAAUACGAUUUGAUAAGUCCUCCUCGAACUAUUGUGCAUGGUAAAGUUGAUAACAUCCAUAUAUAGGUAACGCAUUUUGAAUUUUUUCCAAUCUAAUCCUCAAACUUGGUAAACCAACCAAAGGUGUAACCUCCUAUAGACUCAUCACUGUAUCUCCACAAUGUUAUUGUGUUCUGGAAUCAAUACAAGAUUUUAUUGCCAAUAAAUCACCAGGAUACCACUUGAUAAAUGCCAAAGUCCUCCUCGAAAUACCUCAAUGCACAGUAGAGUUAAUAACCUUCAUUCAUAAUGUAAUUUUGAAGUUGAAUUAUUUUCCAAUCUAAUAAAAACUGUCCCAGUUAUGUUACUCCACAAUUUUGGUAAACCAACCAAAGAUGUAAUCUCUGAUAGGCUCAUCAGCAUAACAACACAAUAUUAUUAAGUUCUGAAAGCAACAGAAGGCUUUUUACUAGGAAACUAAACUAGAAACAAUCCUUAAAAUUUAUUAUUAAAUCUCAGAAUAUCAACUUUGUUUUCAAGAAGAUGCCUCAAAGAUAUUCAGAAAGAAGCAUUUUCUAACUUUCCACACUUUUCAACAUAUUUUUAGAUCACACCACGUGUAUAUACAACAAUAAAAUAUUUUAUUUCUAUGUUGUAAUAUUUAUGGUUGCCACAUAUGAAUGGAAACAGUAUUUUUUUAUUAAUGUCCCAAUAAACAUUCUAUCAGGUCUGUUGUGUUUGUUAUACUGGCUAUUUUUGUGUAAAAUACAUAUGCAGAAAAAAAUGAUGUUUUCGCAUUUAUGAAUUUAAAUAGUUUUAUUUGACACAUCUAGGUUAAACUAUUCCAUUAUAGAUAGCUAUACAUGUAAAAUAUCAUUUAACCUUGACAUAAUAACUUGUUUUUAAAAACACCCUGUGUAGAUUUGUAAUGAGUUUAAAUAAUGUCUAAAGCCAUAAUUGCAGUGCGGUUAAUGAAUAGCUUUUUUCAACUAUGAAAUAAUAACGAUUUUUUGUAAACAUUAUAUACAUUUUGUUAAAAAUUUGACAAAAUAUAUUAUUUAAGUAGGUUUUACUUCUUAUAAUUGAGGGGUAAGGAUGCAAAACUCACAUUCUCCAAAAUUUGAACAUAUUGAUAUAUGCACAUCACUGAAGCGGUCAUUAACGAUAUUUGGUUAAAAAUUCACAUUAUUAGCUUUAAAUAAAUGUACAAAAUAGCAGUUUGAUUCAUAACCGUGUAUAUAAUCUUUGUCAUGAAGCCAAGUUCACAUUCUUCAAAUCAACCAAUCACAAGGAUUGCUGAGCUUGUUUACAAAAGUUGUUAAUUAAAUUAAAGUUUGUUAAAUUUAAUUAAUAAUAAAAGUGAUAAAUACUUACAUCUAAGUGUGCCUUUUUUUAUGCAUCUAACCCACAUAACAGAUGAAGUACUUUCAAUAACUUUUCUUGGUUCUGGUUGUUUGGUUGCGUAUAACGAUUUUGCUUCAAAGCUCCCAUUCUUCAUGAGAUUUUGGUUCAAAACUCUCACGUGGCCACUUGUUUGGUACAAAAAUCACAUUAUCCAAAUUUAGGGUUAUGUUUAUUGAAAAAUAACUUGAAUAAUAAGAGGAUACUAUGAAAAAAUUGUAAUAAUUUGACUUGGAUAUCAAAUAUAAACAGUUUUUGGCGUUUUCCCUAAAGUUUACAAAAGCGGAAUUUAUACAUCUAUACCCCUCAAUUUUGCUUGCUCUCGAAUCAAUUUCUCUCUGUGACACUUUUAAGAGUCGAUAAACUUUUACUAAAGCCGGUAUUACACUAUCAUAUUUCUAUUUCAUAGAUUAUUAUCAAAUAUAAAAAUAUUACAAGGUAUUUAAUAAAAAAAAUUGAUAGUUGAAAUAUGAUCACUUAUUAUUCUAAUACUUAAUCAAUUGUAGAGAAGUUAUACAUAUCAACAAAUAUUUCUAUAUUCACAAUCAAAAUGGCAUCUGAGAAGUUACAGUAAAUAGUAGCCGCAAUAAUGUUUUCUAUAUCAGAAUAUGAAGCAAAUGAAAUACUAUAUAAUAUAAAGACUAAUGACUAUAAAAAGAGAAACAAACGUUUGUUUAUAUAUAAGUGUUAAUGAAAGUUGUAUACAGUGUAUAGAGGCUGAGAGAAGUGGAGAAGAAAGUCACAAGGCACAACCGAAAUUUGAUACGUUUACAAACCUUAAUUUGAGUAGGUUCUUUCUAUGCAGACUAAUAUUUUGUCAAAUUUUUCAUUUUCGCUAGUCUAGAAGGACGUUUUUUGGAGUCUUUUUGAUUGUAUCAAAGUUCUGAUUAAAAUGUUCUUUAAUAAAACGAGAAAUAAUGAUAUCGAACACAUUGUUUACUACACUCGCAAUUAGACUGUCCGACGUGCAUUUCGAUUCCCAAACCAUUUUCAGCGACCAAAAGUGAACUGUUAAAUUUCAAUUCAGUUCACCUUUGGCGCGUCAAGCGAUGUUAUUAUGAAUAGUAGCAAGCAGUGUAUUCACUUGUACUAAUUUACGAAGUUAUCGGCGGUUGUAGUCAUAUAAUUAUUAUUUUCUUAAAUAAAUGAUCUUGUUUUUAGU